GAUGCGUAAGAAAAAAAAAACCUUCUCGCUCAUUCUCCCCUUCUCCCCAACAUCGAGAAAGGCGAAGAGGCGCGGAGCCAAUUCCGGCGUCGAUCCGCCCGAUUCCCCUCGCCGGCGGCCUCUCCGGCGGCUGUUCGGCAAGGGAAUCGGGUGGAUCGGCGUCCGGCGUAGUUUUAGCUUCUAGUUUUAGGUGGUUAGGGCUAGGUAGCUAGGGUUGCCGGUGGAGUGGGUGUCGCUGCCUUCGUUCGUCUGCGGGUGGAGGUGGCGAGGCUCGAUCCAUGGUGGCGGUGGCGCAUUUUGCUUCCGGCGGUCUUUGGGUUGUUGGUGUGCGCUGUCUUCCUGUGCUGCGUGUCCGCCGGCAGCGUUGAAGACGGCGGCUUUCGGUUCGUCUGCUUCUUCUCCUUCUGUGCCGAUGCCAGUAUGAGGUGUGGGUUUCCCGUCGGCGUUCGGAUGAGGGAGUCGGCGUCGCGUUCGUGGAAUAAAACGUGCUGGUGCUUGGUUUGGGGUUGUUGGUGCUGCGCUCUGGUUCUUCUGGAUUUGGAUGCUUCGUAUCCAUGGCGGUAGAAGGUGGUGAAGGGGCCAAAUCGAAGUGGCCGACAGCUGCAGCUCUUUCAACAGAAAUCUCUUGCAGUUUGCCAAUGUUUGAAGUCCGCCCUUUGAUUUGGACAUGCGAGUUUGGUGGCUUGAAGCUCCUGUGUGCAGUAUCGAUGCCUUUGCUCUGGUGUCGUCGCUAUGUCUGGAGGAGGAAGACAAAUAGUAGGGUUCUUGGUGUAAUUUCGGCUUUACUCAGAGACUUUGCUGUUAGAUUGAGAUGUACUGUGCUACUUCGGUUUUAAUACAGGUUGUAUCUCUUUCUCAAAAAAAAAAA